rnacentral:rRNA from 1 species
UACGUAGGGUGCAAGCGUUAAUCGGAAUUACUGGGCGUAAAGCGUGCGCAGGCGGCUUUGCAAGUCAGAUGUGAAAUCCCCGGGCUUAACCUGGGAACUGCAUUUGUGACUGCAUGGCUGGAGUGCGGCAGAGGGAGAUGGAAUUCCGCGUGUAGCAGUGAAAUGCGUAGAUAUGCGGAGGAACACCGAUGGCGAAGGCAAUACCCUGGGCCUGCACUGACGCUCAUGCACGAAAGCGUGGGGAGCAAACAGG